CACGUAGGGUGCGAGCGUUUGUCCGGAAUUAUUGGGCGUAAAGAGCUCGUAGGCGGUGUGUCGCGUCGGCCGUGAAAACUCGAGGCUCAACCUCGGGCUUGCAGUGGGUACGGGCAGACUAGAGUGCUGUAGGGGAGACUGGAAUUCCUGGUGUAGCGGUGAAAUGCGCAGAUAUCAGGAGGAACACCGAUAGCGAAGGCAGCUCGCUGGGACGGUACUGGACGCUGAGGUGCGAAAGCGUGGGGAGCGAACAGG
rnacentral:rRNA from 1 species